rnacentral:rRNA from 1 species
AACGAACGCUGGCGGCAGGCUUAACACAUGCAAGUCGAACGCAUCCUUCGGGGUGAGUGGCAGACGGGUGAGUAACGCGUGGGAACAUGCCCUUCAGUUCGGAAUAACCCAGGGAAACUUGGGCUAAUACCGGAUACGUGCGAGAGCAGAAAGAUUUAUCGCUGAAGGAGUGGCCCGCGUCUGAUUAGCUAGUUGGUGAGGUAAAGGCUCACCAAGGCGACGAUCAGUAGCUGGUCUGAGAGGAUGAUCAGCCACACUGGGACUGAGACACGGCCCAGACACCGACGGGAGGAGGCAGUGGGGAAUUUUGGACAAUGGGGGCAAGCCUGAUCCAUCCAUGCCGCGUGAGUGAUGAAGGCCUUAGGGUUGUAAAGCUCUUUCGGCGGGGACGAUAAUGACGGUACCCGCAGAAGAAGCCCCGGCUAACUUCGUGCCAGCCGCCGCAGUAA